rnacentral:lncRNA from 1 species
AUGUAAAGCAGAGUUGACCAAGUAGGCUGUUUGAAUCUACAGGUAGGAAGCAUGUCCUCUGUUAUAAAAACAGUUGCCUUCUUUGGUGCCUACCUCCCUUGCUUGAAGAACAUGUUUUGGUUCAAUAUGGUUUAGAUUUAAAUUAAAAAGUAAAAUCAUGGUCAUAGAAAUUCAGCAGGCUGGCUUUUUCUCUCAACGAUUCCCUCAUUCAGUUGGGUUGUACUUUAGAAGACCAAGAAAUUGGUGUUUGGAACCCCUGAGGAGAGUAGGCAAUAUAGUCCUCCCAUUUCCAGGCAGCUGGAGGAAGAGAACUAGGGCCCCACAGUAAGCAGACACAGUUUUUACCAUG